AACGUAGGACACAAGCGUUAUCCGGAGUUACUGGGCGUAAAGGGCGUGUAGGCGGAUUGGUAAGUCUAUUCUGAAAGCUCCUGGCUAAACUGGGAGAGGCGAAUGGAGACUGUCAGUCUAGAGUGAGGAAGAGGAAAGUGGAAUUCCGCGUGUAGCGGUGGAAUGCGCAGAUAUCAGGAAGAACACCAACGGCGAAGGCAGCUCGCUGGGACGGAACUGACGCUGAGGCGCGAAAGCGUGGGAGCGAACAGG
rnacentral:rRNA from 1 species